ACGGAAGGCAGCAGUGGGGAAUAUUGCACAAUGGGGGAAACCCUGAUGCAGCAACGCCGCGUGAGUGAAGAAGUAUUUCGGUAUGUAAAGCUCUAUCAGCAGGGAAGAUAAUGACGGUACCUGACUAAGAAGCUCCGGCUAAAUACGUGCCAGCAGCCGCGGUAAUACGUAUGGAGCAAGCGUUAUCCGGAUUUACUGGGUGUAAAGGGUGUGUAGGCGGCAUGGCAAGUCAGAAGUGAAAGACCGGGGCUCAACUCCGGGGCUGCUUUUGAAACUGCUGUGCUGGAGUCCAGGAGGGGCAAGCGGAAUUCCUAGUGUAGCGGUGAAAUGCGUAGAUAUUAGGAAGAACACCGGUGGCGAAGGCGGCUUGCUGGACUGGAACUGACGCUGAGGCACGAAAGCGUGGGGAGCAAACAGGAUUAGAUACCC
rnacentral:rRNA from 1 species